CUUUGUUGACCUGCAUUCCAGCAUCUGCAGCAUCUUGUAUCUCCAAGACAUGCAGGUCUCAAAUUUUGGUGCUCAGUAGGAUAACGGACAAGAACAAAAUUAGGAAUGUGGUGUCACGGUGGCCAUUGGCAGGACUGGACCCAAGUGCGGAGGAACGGCAGACUCUCUCUGUCACGGCAUUCGCAGUAGAACAAAGAAAUACAAUAGAAUCAAAGUAAAACCAUACACAAGGACUGAUAAGCAACCAAUGUGCAAAAGGAGACAAACUGUGCAAAUACAAAAACACAGUUGCUUGAAGACCAACAGAGACCUAUGUUUGGUGAAAUGAAGCAAGAUAAGAGUCAUAAAUCAGUUUUCUUGUACAGACAGUGAACGUUCAGUGCAGUGAGCACGAUACAGUUAAUCUAAGUGCAUUCGAAUGUACAUGGAAAUGGAAAGUGCCCAGUGAGUGAGUGGGCCAGUGAAGGAGUGGAGAUUUGAGGCUUUAACUCGAGAGGCUUCGACAAGAAGAGGCUGAGGACGAGCUUCACUCCAAGUGAGGUGUACAGUGAAAAGCGUCAUUCCAAAGAAGGCACAACAGCGCCCCUGCUUACUUUGAAGUUUGCGUUGGCUUGGGAUGUCACCAAAAUCUUUGACAAGCUUCUAUAGAUGUACAUGGCCUGGUAGGACAAUAGUGAUGCCCAGGAAUGGUAAAGGCUACAGAAAGUGAUGGAUCCAGCCAAAUCUAUUAUGAGCAACGCCAUCCCCACCACUGAGUAUACUUACAUGGAGCACUGCUGCAAGAAUCCAUCAUCAAAGAUUCGCACCAUUCAGGCCAUACCCACUGCUUCCUACAACCAUUGGGCAGGAGCUACAGGAUCCUUGGAUCCCACACUGCUAGGUUCAGGAGCAUCUAUUACCCUCCAGCCAUCAGGUUCCUGAACCAGCAUGGAUAACUUCACUCACCCCAACUCUGAACUGAUUCUACAACCUUCAGUCCCAUUUUCAAAGAUUCUUUACAAAUCAUAUUUUCAGUUUAUUUUUGUAUUUGCACAUCGGUUGUUUAUCAGUCUUUAUGUGGAGUAUUUGCAAAUACUAUUAUUUUUCUCUAUUUUGUAAAUGCCUGCAUAGUAUAUUGGAACAUACAUGUACUUUGUUAAUAAAUUUUGCUUUGAAC